GACGAACGCUGGCGGCGUGCUUAACACAUGCAAGUCGAACGGAAAGGCCCUGCUUUUGUGGGGUGCUCGAGUGGCGAACGGGUGAGUAACACGUGAGUAACCUGCCCUUGACUUUGGGAUAACUUCAGGAAACUGGGGCUAAUACCGGAUAGGAGCUCCUGAUGCAUGGUGGGGGUUGGAAAGUUUCGGCCGUUGGGGAUGGACUCGCGGCUUAUCAGCUUGUUGGUGGGGUAGUGGCUUACCAGGGCUUUGACGGGUAGCCGGCCUGAGAGGGUGACCGGCCACAUUGGGACUGCGAUACGGCCCAGACUCCUACGGGAGGCAGCAGUGGGGAAUAUUGCACAAUGGGCGGAAGCCUGAUGCAGCAACGCCGCGUGCGGGAUGACGGCCUUCGGGUUGUAAACCGCUUUCGCCUGUGACGAAGCGUGAGUGACGGUAAUGGGUAAAGAAGCACCGGCUAACUACGUG
rnacentral:rRNA from 1 species